rnacentral:rRNA from 1 species
UGAAUACGAGACGCUAAGGCGUCGAAGUAGUGUAUGUCAUACUUCCAAGAAAAGCUUGCACUGUCAUAGAUAAAAAACGCCUGUACCAUAACCGACACAGGUGGGUAGGUAGAGUAUACUAAGGGGCGCGAGAUAACUCUCUCUAAGGAACUCGGCAAAAUAACUCCGUAACUUCGGGAGAAGGAGUGCCUUAUUUUUAAGGCUGCAAUAACAAGAUCCAAGCAACUGUUUAUCAAAAACACAGGUCUCCGCUAAGUCGUAAGACGAUGUAUGGGGGCUGACGCCUGCCCAGUGCCAGAAGGUUAAAGAAGUUGGUUAGCUUUUGCGAAGCUGAUAACUGAAGCCCUGGUGAACGGCGGCCGUAACAAUAACGGUCCUAAGGUAGCGAAAUUCCUUGUCGGGUAAGUUCCGACCCGCAAAAGGCGUAAUGAUUUGGAUACUGUCUCGGAGAGGGGCUCGGUGAAAUAGACUUGUCUGUGAAGAUGCGGACUACCUGCACCAGGACAGAAAGACCCUAUGAAGCUUUACUGUAACUUGAAAUUGAAAUUGGACUUUAUUCGCGCAGCAUAGGUGGGAGGCGUUGAUUAUAAUCUCGUGGGAUUAUUGGAGCCAUCAGUGAGAUACCACUCUUGUAAUGUUAGAUUUCUAACUUUGAAUCAUUAUCUGGUCAAAGAACAGUUUCAGGCGGGCAGUUUGACUGGGGCGGUCGCCUCCUAAACGGUAACGGAGGCGUACAAAGGUUUCCUCUGAACGGUUAGAAAUCGUAUCUAGAGUGUAAAGGCAUAAGGAAGCUUGACUGUGAGACCUACAAGUCGAGCAGGGACGAAAGUCGGUCUUAGUGAUCUGACGGUACUGAGUGGAAAGGCCGUCACUCAACGGAUAAAAGUUAUUCUAGGAUAACAGGCUGAUCUCCCCCAAGAGUUCACAUCGACGGGGAGGUUUGGCACCUCGAUGUCGGCUCAUCGCAUCCUGGGGCGGUAGUACGUCCCAAGGGUUGGGCUGUUCGCCCAUGAAAGCGGUACGCGAGCUGGGUUCAGAACGUCGUGAGACAGUUCGGUCCAUAUCCGGUGUAGGCGCUAGAAUAUUGAGAGGAGCCUUCUUUAGUACGAGAGGACCGAGAAGGACAUACCUCUGGUGUACCAGUUAUCGUGCCAACGGUAAACGCUGGGUAGCUAUGUAUGGAGUGGAUAACCGCUGAAAGCAUCUAAGUGGGAAGCCCACCUCAAGAUAAGUAUUCUCGU